UACGGAGGAUGCAAGCGUUAUCCGGAAUGAUUGGGCGUAAAGCGUCCGCAGGUGGCAAUGUAAGUCUGCUGUCAAAGCGUCUGGCUCAACCAGAUAAAGGCAGUGGAAACUACAUAGCUAGAGUAAGGUAGGGGUAGAGGGAAUUCCUGGUGUAGCGGUGGAAUGCGCAGAUAUCAGGAGGAACACCAAUGGCGAAGGCAGCUCGCUGGGACGGUACUGACGCUAAGGCGCGAAAGCGUGGGGAGCAAACAGG
rnacentral:rRNA from 1 species